UACGUAGGGGGCAAGCGUUGUCCGGAAUCAUUGGGCGUAAAGAGCAUGUAGGCGGCCCGAUAAGUCCGCCGUGAAAGUCCAGGGCUCAACCCUGGAAUGCCGGUGGAAACUGUCGGGCUGGAGUCCGGAAGAGGCGAGUGGAAUUCCUGGUGUAGCGGUGAAAUGCGCAGAUAUCAGGAGGAACACCAAUGGCGAAGGCAGCUCGCUGGGACGGUACUGACGCUGAGACGCGAAAGCGUGGGGAGCAAACAGG
rnacentral:rRNA from 1 species